rnacentral:rRNA from 1 species
GCAACCUACCUUCCACAGGGGGAUAGCCUUCCGAAAGUGAGAUUAAUACCGCAUAACAUCAUUUGAGGGCAUCCGAAGAUGAUCAAAGCUUUGGCGGUGGAAGAUGGGCAUGCGUGCCAUUAGUUAGUUGGUAGGGUAACGGCCUACCAAGACUUCGAUGGCUAGGGGUUCUGAGAGGAUGGUCC